AUGCAAAUUGAUUGGACUUUUGUCAGAGAUAUUGUUUCCGUUUCAUCGACCUGGAUUUCCUUGAUUAAAUGUAUAGGCAUUGGAAGAAAACCUGCAAAUAGUGCUCAAGAACCAAUGCAACUUUUGUUGAAUGUAAACCUCAGUUUGCGAUGGAUAUCCGUGCAUUGGAGAUGGACAAAAAGCAAAAUAGUGGGCAUGUUAUCAAACUUUAGUGAUCAUAAUUCAGAAAUGAAAUCCAAGCAACAUUAUUAG